AAAAUACGUAGCGACGAUAGCCUAAUCUUACAUUAGAAUAUUACACCUUGUCUUGGAGCAUUCAGACUUGUGAUUUUCUGCUACAUAAAAAGUUUCAGAAUGAAGUUCUAUCUAUUACCGUUGCUGAUAUCCCUGGCAGUAAGCAAUAUUGACGAAUGGAGACCAAUUUUUAGAGAGAAUUUUGUUUCUAUGGAUACCAAUAAAAAUGGUGUUGUAGAUAUUCAAGAAUAUUCUGCUCUUUUUCUAACACACGACACCAAUGGUGACAAAACCAUAACUCUAGAUGAAUAUCUAAAAGAUGAACCACUGGAUGAGAACAAAGCCGUACUUACAGCGGAGUUCCAUCACUAUGACAACAACAAAGAUGGCGUCGUCGAUAUAAAAGAUCUUCAGACAGAUUUUGAUAAAAUUGAUACUAAUGAUGACAACCUUGUGGAACAGAAUGAGUUCGUCGUCUUUGCUGAAAAUUUAUAUUUGGUUCAAGGUCACCCGGCGUUCGGUAAAUAAAAAUGCAGUCCCAGGACACCAAAAAGCCUAAAUAAAGAG